GGCCCCUGUCCAGGACGCAUGGGCUCAGGGCCCACGGUACAGCUCCCGGCAAUGUUGAGUGACUUUUCCAUCGCACACAUCCUGGCUUUGUGGAAGCAAGAUGGGCUUUCACAAGUAAGGCUCUGAGAAGUCACCCCAGACAGCAGAAGAAAGCGAACACAGCCGUGGGACCAGAUCGAGAUGCAGAACACUGCCACUUGUGAGCAUUACAUGCAUGUAAGCCUUCCGGUCCUCCAGUCUCCCCCGAGGAUAACUCUAUCCUGACCCCUAGCAUCACAGAUUACGCUUCCUAUUUGGUUUUUAAUGAAUGUCAUCACAUCGUCCGCACUCUUCCGCGUUUGGCUUCUUUUAUUCAACCUUGUGUCUGGGAUUCGUUUGUGGUGCCGCUUACAUUCCAGGAUGUGGCUGUGAUCCUCACAGAUUCAGAAUGGAAGGGACUGAGCUCUGAGCAGAGGAACCUACACAAAGAAGUGAUGCUGGAGAAUUACAGGAAUCUGCUCUGUUGGCAGAACCAAAGGCAGAAAUCUACCCCCAUGCCUCCUGCCUUCUAGCCGUCUCCUGCCAGCAACUUCUCAGCCAACAUGUGCCUCAGAUCUUUCUGGGCUUCUGUGUAGGGCAUCACUCGCAUCCAGGGGGUCCUGGCCCAGGGCAUCAAGAGCAGCAGUAUUCUGCUCAGAGCUGCUGCACUGGAGACACAGAAGGUCAUGGGAGGCAAGGUGGCCUCCCUGGUGUGCGAAGACAGAGGAGACGGAGACUCCGGGCGCAUUCCCCAGCCCGCCCGAGGACGGUCCGCAAGAACUAGAGAAGGCAACGUGGCGGGUCGAGAGAGGGCCCCCCUCAGCCCUAGCCCGUGUGCAAACAGACAAAGGAGUGAAAAAAGCCACAAGAUCUGGAGCAGCCAGCUGUACGGAAUGUGAACUAGACCGUAGCCCCAAGUCAGACCUCAUUACAAAGCAGACGGCCCACUUCCAGGAGAAACCCGAUGUUUGCAGGGAGUGCGGGUGAGGCUUUAAAGUGAAGUCAACCCUCAUCAGACACCAUCGGACAUGCUCAGGGGAGAAGCUUUAUGUGUGCGGGGAGUGUGGGCGGAGCUUUAGAAAUAAGUCAGUCCUCACUGGACAUCAGUGGAUUCACUCUGUGGAGAAGCCUUAUGUUUGUGGCGAGUGUGGGUGAGCCUUCAGCGAGAAGUCCUCCUUCCUCAGACAUCAGAGGACACGCUCCUGCUCCCGGGAGAAACACUACGCAUGCCUGGAGUGUGGGCGAGGCUUUAGCCAUAAGUCAAAUGUGAAAAAAAAUUUUUUUUUAAUUUUUAUUUAUUUUUGAGAGAGAGAGAGAGAGAAAGCAGGGGAGGAACAGAGAGAGAAGGAGACACAGAAUCUGAAGCAGGCUCCAGGCUCUGAGCCGUCAGCACAGAGCCUGACACAGGGCUCAAACCCACGAACCACGAGAUCAUGACCUGAGCCGAAGUCAGAUGCUUAACCGACUGAGCCGCCCAGGCGCCCCACGUUGAAUCUUAUCAGACGCCAGAGAAUACGCUGAGGCGAGAAGCCUUCUGUGGGGGGGGGGGGGGGGGGGAAUCCUGGGCAAGA